UGGUCUGCAAAACCUUUAAGAAACAAACAAAAAAAGUCAGACAGCUUUUGCUUCCGACCUAACCCAAAGUUCCCCUGUCUAAUGAUGCCUGCAGAGUGAAUUUGGGGGAGGGGGGGGAGAAUGGUCUUUAGCAACCUUUAUUGGGUUCCUGACAAAUUAUCUGCGCAGCAUAAUCCUGCCAUUGUCUGCUUCAGUAAGCAGGAAGAAGGUAUACUGGCCCUACAGGAAUGUGCAGACCAGCAUGUCUUCUUAUUCUCAAAAUGGAAAGAAUGUUUAUUGGAGCCAUGUUGCUGAAGAAGAGGAAAAUUCCAGUAUAAAUUAACAAUCAUAUUCCACUGAAGCUAUGGAAGGGAAAUGGUCAGAAACAAGGGAAAUAAAGGGUGAUGUCCAGGGUCAUCUAUGGGAAGAUGAAGACAAUAAAAAAAAGCACCUUGUGGCAUAACCUUCACCUUGCAGUGUCACAUUACAUGCAAGUAUGGCAGGGACAGGGGUGGGCUGCUGGGGGUUCGUGGAGGUUCAGGAGAACCUCUAGCUAAGAUUCUGUGUAGUUCGGAGAACCCCCAAAUCCCACUCCUGGCUGGCCCUGUCCACCCCACCCUGGCACUCCCAGGAGUCUACAUGCGGCCCAUUUUGGAUGCAGAUUGGAUGAGCCCUGCACUGCCCAUAUCUACCCAAAGAAAUCUGGCUGUUUGAAACAAAGAACAAGAUGACAGUCUUGUCACAACUAAUAUACAGAAAAUAUCUAUAUUUACAAUUUACUCUUACUUUCCCUGUGAUUAUAGUUCUUUACUGCUCUCAAGGACAGAGUUAGAGAACAUAGAACAAGCCCCAUAGCUUAUAUUCUUUACCCAUUAUCAUUUGGUAUUUGAGUCAUCUGUUUUGGACUAUGUCAUUUUUUAAAAUAAUAAUUUUAUUAAAGGGUACAAUACAAAAAUAAAAAAACUAAUGUGAACUAACAAAGUAUAAAAAGUGAAGAAAAAGAGAAGUGUGAUGAAAUGGAAAAACUAAAAAAAAAUUAAAAAAUCAAAAAUAAGAUCAAAAGAUAUAAAAAAUUAUUUCUCCCUUCCUCCAGGCAAGUAUAAACAACUUCAGUCACUUAGCACUUUCUCUAAUACUUCACUAAAAGAAACUUCUUCCCAAAUCUCAUUCUUUAUCAAUAAUAAAAUUAUAAAAACUCAUCAUUCAGUCCUAAUCAGCAAAAGUCUAUUAAGACCAGGGGUGCUAUUCAGCAGGUUCUGACAGGCUCUGGAGAACUGGUAGCAGAAAUUUUGAGCAGUUCGGAGAACUGGAAAAUACCACCUCUGGCUGGCCCCAGAGUGGGGAAGGA